rnacentral:rRNA from 1 species
UUAGCGGCGGACGGGUGAGUAACACGUGGAUAACCUACCUAUAAGACUGGGAUAACUUCGGGAAACCGGAGCUAAUACCGGAUAACAUAUUGAACCGCAUGGUUCAAUAGUGAAAGGCGGCUUUGCUGUCACUUAUAGAUGGAUCCGCGCCGUAUUAGCUAGUUGGUAAGGUAACGGCUUACCAAGGCAACGAUACGUAGCCGACCUGAGAGGGUGAUCGGCCACACUGGAACUGAGACACGGUCCAGACUCCUACGGGAGGCAGCAGUAGGGAAUCUUCCGCAAUGGGCGAAAGCCUGACGGAGCAACGCCGCGUGAGUGAUGAAGGUCUUCGGAUCGUAAAACUCUGUUAUCAGGGAAGAACAAAUGUGUAAGUAACUGUGCACAUCUUGACGGUACCUGAUCAGAAAGCCACGGCUAACUACGUGCCAGCAGCCGCGGUAAUACGUAGGUGGCAAGCGUUAUCCGGAAUUAUUGGGCGUAAAGCGCGCGUAGGCGGUUUUUUAAGUCUGAUGUGAAAGCCCACGGCUCAACCGUGGAGGGUCAUUGGAAACUGGAAAACUUGAGUGCAGAAGAGGAAAGUGGAAUUCCAUGUGUAGCGGUGAAAUGCGCAGAGAUAUGGAGGAACACCAGUGGCGA